rnacentral:tRNA from 1 species
GGCUUAGCUCAGCUGGGAGAGCGCCUGCUUUGCACGCAGGAGGUCAGCGGUUCGAUCCCGCUAGUC